ACGACCACACCAUGCUGAAUAUACCGGUUCUCGUUAGAUCACCGAAGUCAAGCAUCAUUGGGCGCGGUCAAUACUUGGGUGGGUGACCACCUGGGAACACCCGUGCCGUU
rnacentral:rRNA from 1 species